CAUUUCUGGAUCUGUAAACUAGUGUCGAAGAAUAGUCUCAUGGGCUGUGCUUACUUGAAUAAGGACAAGCCUUAAUUUAUAAUGUUUAUGUUAAAUUACUUAACUUCACCAUGGAGAUAAUUCAAGGAACAUAACCUACCCCCUCCAUGUUGAGCUCACGUCUAGUACCAAGGCCUCCAAAGGACUGGAUUUUUUGGUGCUGAAGCAUCAUCAUCACCUUCCUGAGACCAGACCAUCAUGAUUACUACCAGACUAUCCCCAAGCCUGGCGGUGAGAUGCCAAGUUUUAUAGCUUUGAGAGGAUUAUGCAACUAACUCAUGAAGCCAAAAGAGAAGCAGUCUUCUGUAUGUUGCAUGUGUAGGUGAGUUUUGUCUUGGG
rnacentral:lncRNA from 12 species